GAUGUUCCUUCUUUUUCAUCCCCUAGCACAUUUCUCUUUGGCUCUCUAGCAAACAGUUGGUGUCCCCUAGAAACCUUGAGUUGGCAAACAGAUCCAAAGCGGUAGUGGCCUUUCACAGAGAUUGAUCCACAAGUAAUCAGGGAUUGCAGUGUACUCAUCUUUGCACAUGAAGGAGAGGAAGGACCUGAAGAUGUUGGUGGCUGUGAACUCCCUACUUUAACGAUAUUUGGGUCCUCCUUCGAACACAUCAAUCCACGAUUUCUCCUUCCUUCUCCGUUGUCGAUUUGAGUUGUAGCUUCCUGUGCUCCAUCGGGCUUGCGGAUCCUGGUUUCCGCCGAUGGGGCGGUUAUAAAACCAGGCGCUGGAGGAGGAGGAGGUGGUGGUGGUUGUUGCCUCAUGGGAUGCUUUGCCUCCUUAAGAACAACGGCUGUUGUGGAUGAAGAAGGGGAAGCUUCUUCGCCUUUGUGAGGUGGCUGUUGUAGAGGGUGUUUCAGGUUCUGGAUCUUGACAUUGCUCAUUCCGUGAUGGUUCCGAUCUAAAUCGAGCAAUGCAUCAUUCAAUCCGAUCAUAGCCUCUACCAAACAAAGAGAGAUGUAGACGGACAAUGUACCUGGAGGGGUUCGAUCCAAGAGCUCCGAACCCUUGAGUACAUACUCAUCGCCCUGCUCCGGCAGGAUCAGAUCGCCCUCGGAAAGGUCCUGCCACACGAAUCCGUUCUUGUAGCUCCUGCGCCAGUUUGGUGUAUCAUCGGUCAAUCAAAAACCUAAAUCUAGGGUCUCUGCAGUUCCUAAUUCUGCAUGCUCUGUUACCUCUUGCAAGACCAGGAGUACAUGGCCGCCAUCCCCUUCCCUCGCAGCACAUCGAGCCUGUCGACCACAUCUACAAACAACCCAACCAAGAAAUCAAGAAACAGAACACAGAUGAAAGCUCUCCUUUUUAUCCAACCAAGAUCGAUCCUUUUUACCUCUGAGGUAGAGCCCCGCAGGGGAGGAGAGCGGGACCUCCAUGAAGUGCGGUUGCUCGAGGUGGUGACUCCUGGAGAGGUAAUACACCACCGAAACCUUUCUCCCCUCCAGCUGCUGCGAUUGGUGCUUCGGUGGCGGCUCUGUCCACACUCUGGUUCUCUCCGGUCUGCCUUGCGCCGCGUGUCUUCUCAUCCUCGCGUCCAUUCUUGUCUCCUUCUUGGUUAACCAGUGCGGCGGCUGCUGCUUCUCAUCAUCAUGCGUCGGGGUCUGUCGGCAUUUAGUGGAGUGACUAGGGGCGGCAGGGAAUUCCGUGCGGCUCGAGGGCCCAAAGUGGCCAUCAUGAACAGGAGGAGGAAGACGACAUGGCGUUACACCACGUUGCACUUCAACCAGACAACUAGGUCUCUGUUUUGUUGUAUCUAGUGUAGAUGCGCUUGCUUUAGAUUGCUCGUCCUGGUUUUCAAGAUGGGGAGUUUAUGGACUGGGAAGAAGCUUGUGAACAGGGUUUGCUUGUUAUUGGCAGAUGUUACUAAGACUAAGAACAGAAUCUGGAAAAUUGUAUCCUUUUUUAUGGAUUUUAAGUUGAGAGAGGUAUAUAUAGUUCAACACCAUUAGCAGUCCAGCAGCUUCAUAUUUGCGGCAGCUGCAUGCCCUCUAUGGUGGUGGGACAAGAUCUCAAGGACUUCUCACUGGUUUCUUCUUCUUCUCAAAAGUGGAUGCUCUCUUCCUGUGGAACCACUCUCACUUUGGAUGUGGGUGAGCUGUGACCCUCUGAAACCCUCUUUGUUUCAC